GCAGUGGUGGUUCGGUGGUUCAGAAUUCUCGCCUUCCAUGCAGGAGACCUGGGUUCUAUUCCCAGCCGUUAGA
rnacentral:tRNA from 1 species